AAUGCUGUUAGUUUGAACACAGAGCAACAUUAACUCUUGUGUUGGGCGUGGUUGGUUUGUGUUGGGUGUGGUUGGUUUGUGUUGGGCGUGGUUGGUUUGUGUCGGGCGAGUUUGGUUUGUGUUGGGCGUGGUUGGUUUGUGUUGGGCGUGGUUGGUUUGUGUUGGGUGUGGUUGGUUUGUGUUGGGCGUGGUUGGUUUGUGUUGGGAUUGGUUGGUUUGUGUUGGGCGGGGUUGGUUUGUGUUGGGCGUGGUUGGUUUGUGUUGGGCGUGGUUGUUUUGUGUUGGGCGUGGUUGGUUUGUGUUCGGCGUGGUUGUUUUGUGUUGGGCUUGGUUGGUUUGUGUUGAGUGUGGUUGGUUUGUGUUGGGCGAGUUUGGUUUGUGUUGGGCGUGGUUGUUUUGUGUUGGGCGUGGUUGGUUUGUGUUAGGCGUGGUUGGUUUGUGUUGGGCGUGGUUGGUUUGUGUUGGGUUUGGUUGGUUUGUGUUGGGCGUGGUUGGUUUGUUUUGGGUGUGGUUGGUUUGUGUUGGGCGUGGUUGGUUUGUGUUGGGCGUGGUUGGUU
ensembl:lncRNA